GAUGAAGAACGCAGCGAAAUGCGAUAAGUAAUGUGAAUUGCAGAAUUCAGUGAAUCAUCGAAUCUUUGAACGCACCUUGCGCCCUUUGGACAUUCCGAAGGGCAUGCCUGUUUGAGUAUCAUGAACACCUCAACUCUCACGGCUUGUCCGUGAUGAGCUGGGACUUUGGGGGUCUUGCCGGCCUGUGGUCGGCUCCUCUCAAAUGGAUCAGCUUGCCAGUGUUUGGUGGCAUCACAGGUGUGAUAACUAUCUGCGCUUGUGGUUUUCCAUCAGAUAACCUUCAGUGAUAUGGAGGUUCGCUGGAGCUCACAAAUGUCUCUCCUUAGUGAGGACAGCUCUUUGAACGUUUGAUCUCAAAUCAGGUAGGACUACCCGCUGAACUUAAGCAUAUCAAUAAGCGGAGGA
rnacentral:misc_RNA from 1 species